rnacentral:rRNA from 1 species
UAUUUUUUAUGGGGUUGUCAGCACAGUAGUCAUACUCUCGUCUCAAAGAUUAAGCCAGGCAUGUGUAAGUAUAAAUUUUUUUCUUUGAAACUGCGAAUGGCUCAUUAUAUCAGUUAUAGUUUAUAAGAUGAAAUGUCUUGCUUGGAUAUCGGUAGUAUUUGUAGAGUUAAUACAUGAUCAAUUCCUCGUCUUAGAAGAGGGGUUUUUAUUAGAAUGAAAACCAAUAGUCUCAGUCUGUUGGGGAGUAAUAAUACCUUGUCAUAUCGCAUGCUUAGGUAGAGAGGUGUCUUAAAAGUUUCUCCCCUCUCAGCUUUCGAGGGUAGUGUAUGGGUCUCCCAGCACAGUAGCGGGUAGAAAAGAAUUGGGUUUCGUUUUGGGAGGGGGACCGUGAGAGGGGUCUCCCACACCCAGGGAAGACCGCGGGCGUGAAAAUUCCACUAUCCUCACACGGGGGGGUAGUCACAAAAACUCACAAUGGGGAUAUUUAGUUUUGCAAUUGGAUUGAGAACAAGCACAACAGUUAUCGAUAAACAAUUGGAGGGCAAGUCUGGUGCCAGCAGCCGCGGUAAUCCAGCCCUAAUAAAGUU